rnacentral:rRNA from 1 species
AUUGAACGCUGGCGGCAGGCUUAACACAUGCAAGUCGAGCGGAGACUUCGGUCUUAGCGGCGAACGGGUGAGUAAUACCUAGGAAUCUGCCUAUUAGUGGGGGAUAACGAAUCGAAAGGUUCGCUAAUACCGCAUACGUCCGUACGGGAGAAAGGGGGGGGAUCUUCGGACCUCUCGCUAAUAGAUGAGCCUAGGCCGGAUUAGCUAGUUGGUAGGGUAAAGGCCUACCAAGGCGACGAUCUGUAGCUGGUCUGAGAGGAUGGCCAGCCACACUGGAACUGAGACACGGUCCAGACUCCUACGGGAGGCAGCAGUGGGGAAUAUUGGACAAUGGGGGCAACCCUGAUCCAGCCAUGCCGCGUGUGUGAAGAAGGCCUUCGGGUUGUAAAGCACUUUAAGCGAGGAGGAAGGUUUUUAGUUUAAUACACUAAAGAAUUGACGUUACUCGCAGAAUAAGCACCGGCUAACUCUGUG